rnacentral:lncRNA from 1 species
CCCAGAACGCCUCAGAAUUAACUGGAUCCUCCUUACACACCCCCACCCCCACCCAAGACCCAUGCUAGGUACCUAGAUGUGUUUGACUAAUAGUCUUGAAGAGAAUAUGGAUAAGUCCCUCUGAAAUCUAUUAUAAUGGAACUGUCAUAUCCUCUUUCAACUACUGAUUUCGCAGCUAUUCCUGAAAAAAUCUUUAAAAGAAUUCAGUAGGAUUAGUAUUAUGUUGGUGGGUUGAUGGGAGAUUUUUUUUUCACAACCAGGGUCCUUUUCCUCAAGUAAUUGACAUUUGAAGAUCUUUUUCCUAUAAAGAAUGCAAGAAAAGAACAAAAUAACGAUAAAGAACAAAAUCCUAACACUACCAAGAAAUUGAGUUUCUUUAUUUUCUUUUCCAGUUUUUUUUGAAAAAUAUUCUCAGCUUAAAGAAAAAAGACUCAAAAGAACCGAUCCCCAGAUAUGUGGAAUGUGAGAAAUCAAAUCAGACCAUGGGAGCCUGGAGUUGCUGCCCAAAGAAUUGGAUUUCAUUUAAAUCCAACUGCUACCUUAUUUCUGG